rnacentral:rRNA from 1 species
UACAGAGGGGGCAAGCGUUGUUCGGAAUUACUGGGCGUAAAGGGCGCGGAGGCGGCCUUCUAAGUCGAACGUGAAAUCCCUGGGCUCAACCCAGGAACUGCGUCCGAUACUGAAAGGCUUGAAUCCGGGAGAGGGAUGCGGAAUUCCAGGUGUAGCGGUGAAAUGCGUAGAUAUCUGGAGGAACACCGGUGGCGAAGGCGGCAUCCUGGACCGGUAUUGACGCUGAGGCGCGAAAGCCAGGGGAGCAAACGGG